rnacentral:lncRNA from 1 species
ACAUCUCAAAUUUAAAUGGAAAGUAAAUAUCAAGUUGUUAGCAUUAAAGAAAACCCAUUUCAGAGAGCUGGAGAUGUAACAUUCGAGGGACCUUCUCUCUCCUUCACUCUUCCUCACUUUUCUUUCAUUUUCCUUUGUUCCUUUCUUCCCCCUCAUUUUCCUCAUUCUCUCUGUCUCUCCUUCUUUCCUGUUCUCAGAUUCUCAGGCAGGAGAAGCCUUCGUUUCCCUGAGAUGGCUUCUGAACUGCUGCUUUGGACCAGACCUCGCUUAAACUGAGGUUCAAAGCUGUGAAGGGCUCAGGACCAUCCUCUGGCCCUUUCCUCUGGAGCCUGCUCGACAACCCUCCCUGCUGUCAGUGCCUGGAGCCGGGCUGGGCAGAGCCAGGGAAGGUGGCAUCUGCACCCGGAGCACCACGUGCCCUCGCUGCUGUGAGCUGAGAAAUCUCGGAUACAGAAGACUCUCUUUGUGUGCCUAAAAGGAAGUGAUAAUCUGAAGUCCAUGUAAAAACAUUUAAUCAGAUGGUCUGGUAACACUGCAUGACAAGUGUCUUCUAAAACUCUCUUCCUGGCAUUCUCCAAUAUCUUUCCAGGCAAGAAUGUCUCAGGUUCCUCUAAUGGAAUUCUAUUUUAUUGGUAAAUAAUAGUCUAUCUGGAUGAACUGUUCCAAUGUAAUCCCUUCACGCCCAUGUGUAAUAAAGUAGUUGAACUGUGGAUUACGUUAACACUGAGAACAACUCCAUGGAAGUGUAAAUUAAUAUACAAUAGGAACAUUAUUCUUAUUUUAUACUUAUUGGUCUGUAUUCUGCUUAUUACACCAGGGCAAAACCAAGGUAAUGGACAGCAGAGUCCCGUGAACAGAAUGGACAGCAGAAUAGACUCCCAAAGCCUGACUUCUUCUAUCAACACCAUUUUUACCUUAGUACAAUCAGAUGCAGAACAACCCAAACUCUUUCAGCACCAGGAAGGGGGCACGGCUGCCUUUUGACUGAGACACUGUGGUGACUUCAAGUUUCUUCUUACCACUGUUUGCAGGAUUCAGUUGGAUUUGGAACAAACAUUUACUCUUUAUCUCCAAAGACAACAUUUGUUGAGCUUUGGGAGUCUCGGUGAAGCCGAAGGUUUAACAGCCAUUCAGAACAGGCCUGGAUGCAGAGCCAACAGCACGGUGUGAUAAUGCCACAGGGCAUCAUGGGUUUAAAUUAUAGGCGCUCUCGACAUUCCUCUUCCUAUAUGGGGACACAGGACUGUGUCCUUCCCCGGCUUCCAUCUGUUCCUUCACUUACUUGCUGUUUCUGCCGUCAGGGUGAGGAUGAGGUUGGAGAGCAGGAGCAGCCCUGGAGUUCAGUUAAUGGAGUUUCCCACUAGGUGGUAGUGAAGAGAAUCGCGUCACAGGUACCGUUACGUCACCUCCAACUCUAAGUUAAAACUGGCUCUUCUCCCUCCCACACGAGAAGGAACAAAGAACGAGGCUGCACAGCUGGACUGGAACAAUCGCUCCGCGCUCUGCGAAGCCCCACACGCACAAACGGCUCCCGUGCAGGAACGGGAGGUGGGAUUAAUUCAAGGGAGCAGACCCAAGAUAAGAUGCUAGUUCUGCAAUUGGCAGAAACACAAUCAGGGACUGAAGAUUUGGCGAUGGCACCAAAGAAACCAAGGGGAGAGAUGAGCGGGAUCAGCGGCUGCCAGUUCCUCUGCCUGGGACUUGCAGGGACGGUGGUAACAUGAAGUGUA